UACGUAGGCAGCAAGCGUUGUUCGGAGUUACUGGGCGUAAAGGGUGUGUAGGCGGUCUUCUAAGUUUGGUGUGAAAUCUCCCGGCUCAACUGGGAGGGUGCGCCGAAAACUGGGAGGCUAGAGUGCGGGAUGGGAGAGUGGAAUUCCAGGUGUAGCGGUGAAAUGCGCAGAUAUCAGGAGGAACACCGAUGGCGAAGGCAGGUCUCUGGGCCACUACUGACGCUGAGAAGCGAAAGCAUGGGGAGCGAACAGG
rnacentral:rRNA from 1 species